GCCUGUGGGGUAGCUCAGCUGGUAGAGCAUGAGACACACACACUCUCUCUCUCUAUAUAUAUAUCUAUAUAAUUAAGGUUUCAGUUGAAAUAAAUCAAGUGAUACAGGAAAAAAAGAAGGAAAAGUGAGAGGGAGAAAAAACAACAACAAAGAUACAUAUAAAAGCGAAAAUAUGCACACACACAAAUGGCAAAUACAGUGGCACCUCGGGUUACAUACGCUUCAGGUUACAGACUCCGCUAACCCAGAAAUAUUACCUCGGGUUAAGAACUUUACCUCAGGAUGAGAACAGAAAUCGUGCACCGGCAGCAGGAGGCCCCAUUAGCUAAAGUGGUGCUUCAGGUUAAGAACAGUUUCAGGUUAAGAACAGACCUCCAGAACGAAUUAAGUACUUAACCCGAGGUACCACUGUAUACGAUAUUCCCAUACAUUAUUGUAUAAAUUUGUAGAGUGUUAUUAAGAGCAUGAGAUUCUUAAUCUCAGGGUUGUGGGUUCGAGCCCCAUGUUGGACA